AUACCUUUCUCGGCCUUUUGGCUAAGAUAUUCAAGUGUAGUAUCUAUUCUUAUCAGUUUAAUAUCUGAUAUGUGGGCCAUCAACCUGCUCGAUAUUUUAAGGGAGGAACCCUAACAAUAUAGCCUGCUAUAUGGGUUUCUAUGUGUCGCUCAUGCUUUGCACUACUGCAAGGGCUGGCUCAACCCAC